UCACUCUUGUGAACUCUAAUGUUUUCUUCACUGUUCACACAGAAACACUCACACAAUACUGACACCUACCAGAGAGGAAGAAGAAUUACUGCUGCACUUUUCCCCCUCUGUCAGUGAAAAGGCAGAACCAUACGUCAUAGAUGUCUCAGGAGGAUAUAUGGAGUGAAAACAGUUUUAAAACCUCCCACAAAUGCACACAAUAAAUCCAGAUGCACGCACAGUAAUUCACAUCUCCAGCACACACGCACGAGAAUUCACGAAUGCACAUUGAAAUCCACAAACACGAGUUGCAUCUUCCUGCACAACUGGAGGCGACAGUUUCAGGACCGCAGUUCUAGGACCAUAGGUUUUUAGUAACGACGCCCCCUAGCGAAUUAGGACCAGCAAAUAUGGAUGACAAUCAGAGUUGAAGUGGAGGAAUGUAAUCGAAUCAUAGACAAACAAUUGAGAAAAAAGGGAAGAGCAUCCAGUUGGGUGACUAUUAUAGGGCAGAACCAAAAGCGGCGAAGAUCGGUUCCGCCCGGAGAUGGUUUCCACCCAGGCCGAAUAUUUCAAGCACCUGCACUUCCUGGUUUCCAGGGGCAACACAAUCGGGACCUUACGAGCCACAGGUGAGAAGGAUUAAGGUGGUGAUUUACAAUUGGAGGACGUGUGAAGAGGAGUUGGCGGUCGAAUCCUGGGCGAGCUCUUUCCGCCUAGGGCGAACCAAACCACAAACUCCGAGGGAAAAGCCUGACGGCUCCGUUGAUCCGGGGAGCGCUUUAGAGCGAGCGGAAAGAGUGAUGGGCCGAAGAAGGCGAGAGAGAGGAGUUGCUGUUGUUUGUUAAAGGAGCACCACGGGAAAAAGUGCUUUUCUCUGCCGUUGUUGGGUGUUGUGAGUUCAAUGAACAGUUUGCGGCCCCACCGUGGAGAGAAGCAUGGGGAGCUGGGGAGUAAUACUGGAAGUUUAUAUAGACAGCCAACACUGUGAAGCAUUGACAUCGCACGUGAGUAAAGCUGUACAUUGUACUGUGCAGAGUGGAAGAGGGUAUAUUACCUAACGUGUGUUGUGAGUUUAAUGAACAGUUGCGGCCCCACCGUGGAGAGAAGUGUGGGUGAGCCGGGGAGUGAUACUGCAAGUCUAUAUAGAGAGCCAACGCUGUGAAGCAUUGACACCGCACGUGAGUAACAUUGUACAUUGCACUGUGCAGAGUGGAAGAGGGUAUAUUACCUAACGUGUGUUGUGAGUUCAAUGAACAGUUUGCGGCCCCACGGUGGAGAGAAGCAUGGGUGAGCCGGGGAGUAAUACUGGAAGUCUAUAUAGAGAGCCAACGCUGUGAAGCAUGGACAUCGCACGUGAGUAACGCUGUACAUUGUACUGUGCAGAGUGGAAGAGGGUAUAUUACCUAACGUGUGUUGUGAGUUCAAUGAACAGUUUGCGGCCCCACCGUGGAGAGAAGCGUGGGUGAGCCGAGGAGUACAAUUCAAUUAGGAGUAACGCAGGAGGUCCGACGUCCAUAUCUAGGUGCUUUUUCCCUCUACUGAGAACACGUCUAACCAGCCACACGACGAAUCCUGGCCGAAUUUGGCUAAGUCCUUAGUUCACUUAAAGUGCAUGGAGUGUCGUGGGUGAGUCUUUGUCUUUAUUGUGUGUGUGUACACCUAAAGCUUGCAGUGUAGUGCUGUGCUUGUGUCGACAGAAGCCACACCGAGUUCAGAGGAAUCGUGAGGAGAUUUCAACACGUUGAGGCUAGAGGAGCAUGAUGUAAAGACAGCUGCAAAUAGGACUUCCUGUAUACAAAGCGACAAGAUCUUUCUGGCUCUGAAAGAGGGCAGUGGUGAAAUAUAUCUACAAAUCAGUCCACGAACCUGAGGAAGAAAAGUUUAAGUCCCAGUCACCUGUGUAAUUCUUACCUCUGCUUACAGCCACGAACCUAAGGAGUGAGAAGGAAAAGUUCCAGUCACCAGCUGAGGAAAAGUAAAAGUUCCAGUCACCUGCUGAGGAAAAGUUAAAGUCCCAGUCACCUGUGAAAUUCUUACCUCUGCUUACAGCCACAACACAGAAGAUCCAAAUGCCCCUCCCCCCUUGCUAUGAAAGCCCGAGGACUGGGAUGUUUUUUUUUUAAUAUUUAACUCCCCUCCCCCUA